rnacentral:lncRNA from 1 species
AAGAAAGAGAGGAUAGGAGGAGAAGAAGAAGAGGAAAAAAGAAAAGAAGAAGGAGAAGAAGUGGAGGAGGAGAAGAAAAGAAGAAGAAUAAUAAUAAGAAGACGACGAAUAAGAAGAAGAGGAAGAAGAGGAGGAGGAAGAAGAAGAAGAAGAGGAAGAAUAGGAAGAAUAGGAAGAAGAAGAAGAAGAAGAAGAAGAAAAGGAAGAAGAAGAAAAGGAAGA